rnacentral:rRNA from 1 species
CCGUAAUCCGGGUUGCGGACAGUGUCUGGUGGGUAGUUUGACUGGGGCGGUCUCCUCCUAAAGAGUAACGGAGGAGCACGAAGGUUGGCUAAUCCUGGUCGGACAUCAGGAGGUUAGUGCAAUGGCAUAAGCCAGCUUGACUGCGAGCGUGACGGCGCGAGCAGGUGCGAAAGCAGGUCAUAGUGAUCCGGUGGUUCUGAAUGGAAGGGCCAUCGCUCAACGGAUAAAAGGUACUCCGGGGAUAACAGGCUGAUACCGCCCAAGAGUUCAUAUCGACGGCGGUGUUUGGCACCUCGAUGUCGGCUCAUCACAUCCUGGGGCUGAAGUAGGUCCCAAGGGUAUGGCUGUUCGCCAUUUAAAGUGGUACGCGAGCUGGGUUUAGAACGUCGUGAGACAGUUCGGUCCCUAUCUGCCGUGGGCGCUGGAGAAUUGAGGGGGGCUGCUCCUAGUACGAGAGGACCGGAGUGGACGCAUCACUGGUGUUCGGGUUGUCAUGCCAAUGGCACUGCCCGGUAGCUAAAUGCGGAAGAGAUAAGUGCUGAAAGCAUCUAAGCACGAAACUUGCCCCGAGAUGAGUUCUCCCUGACUCCUUGAGAGUCCUGAAGGAACGUUGAAGACGACGACGUUGAUAGGCCGGGUGUGUAAGCGCAGCGAUGCGUUGAGCUAACCGGUACUAAUGAACCGUGAGGCUUAACCUUACAACGCCGAAG